rnacentral:tRNA from 1 species
GGCUGACGGUGCGCGGAGGGCCGCCGGCCUUCCGGCGGUCGGCGGGCGCGUGCCCCCAUGCGCCUCGCCCGUUCCGUCCGCCGGUCGGCUA